CCCAGCAAAAGCCGAACAUCCCAUCUCUCUCUGAACUCACCCACCCUAAAUUUUCUAUAAAAAAAUCUAGGGUUAACACUGUACGUCGCCAGCCCUAGCCCAUACCUUGCCUCCCCGGCCGCCGCACACCAUCCUCUGCCGGACCUCUCCGCCUCCGUUUCUUUUCUGUGUGAUCCAGUCCGCAUCAGGGGGUAGUUGGCGGGGAAAAUCCCGGCGCUGGUAAGGAGGGCGAGCGUGGGCUGUGGUGGCCCAUUGGCACCCAUGCGGCAAGGAAGAUCGAGAGGAUACCCGCGCACGUCCCCACGUCCUUGAAGGUGGCGACUACAUCGAUGGCGGCCUUUGCUUAGGCGUAGAGCCGCCGUCGGCCACUGAUAGUUCACUGCCCGCCCCCACCCAGUCCUUCUCCUCAUUCCCUCGAAGCUCCUCUCCUCUCAUGCGCGCUACACAUCAAUACUAAGGACCACAUGAACAAGCAGGUUGAUGUCCAAGCAUGGUUGCUACUAGAAGAGACCACAUGAACAAGCAGGUUGAUGUCCAAGCAUGGUUGCUACUAGAAGAGACCACAUGAACAAGCAGGUUGAUGUCCAAGCAUGGUUGCUACUAGAAGAGUAAGCUUCAGACAACGUCCCAGCUAUGCAAAAAUCCACCAUCUCAUCUCAUGCAUGCAUAACCAGGCCAAUGGUUUUUUGGAUAGUUCCCACGCCGCUGCGCAUGCAGGUCACCGCUUGCCCAGCCCUCUGUCCAGAAUACCAUCACCAACUCACUCAGAGCCCACGACCGCCACAAAAUCGUCAUGCCACCGCGCAUGCAGGUCAACGCCUCACACCUGAGCGUUGCCACCCUGUCUCGCACACGCAGGGAUUAGACUUCUGAUGACAUAUCACAACUUCAAGGUAAAUCAUUAAAAAUUCUAAACACCAUUUAAUUGAAGUUCAAGUCGAGAGCUAAUAAGUGUAGGCAAUACCCUUGUUCUAAUAGAUUACUAAUGAACUGUCAUGCUUAUUCAUAUAACAUUUUAUGCUCGAGAAUUAAUAACCUGCAGACAUAUUGCUAAUUAGUUAGCAAUUUUUGGUCAAGAACUAAUAACCUGUAGACAAUUUUCUUAUUUUGUUAAAUGAGCGCUACGGGAGAAUAUCUCCUUGGAAGGAGGUAAUAUAAACCUUGAGACAGUCAUCUUCCUCUAUUAAGGUAACUCUAUGAGAGAACAUCUUCUAGGAUGGAGGCAAAACUGAUGUUAACGGCAAUAACAAAGUCAUAAUUGGGUCUCCAACACCUACUCGUGGCAGAUUGGUAGCAUCUGCAAAAUCAGUUACUUCUUCGUCAUGUGCCUCCCCUGCAAGGUAUCCAUGCAGUCCGUCACUUGCUUGAUUGAUGUCGCCAGUUUAGAUCCCAAUAUUGUUGAUGUAGUUCUCAUAUAUAUGUAGGUUUGUUCCAUCAUCUUAGAUUGUUGUUGUGUGUACACAUGCAUCUUUUAUUUUCAUGUUAGCUUCGAUUGUCUUGGAUGCAACCGUCUAAAUAUGCAUGAAUAUUGCUUGGUAUAUACACUUCUUCUGUUCUUUUGCACUUACGAGUAAUAUGGGAUCUUGGUGUGAAAUGUUAUGCUUGUUAAUUACCUGAAUAUUUGAUGUAAAAUGUGAUUGACCAUGCCGGUGUCAGAGUUCAAUUGUCUGGGUGUGCAUACUGGUCCAUGAACUAUAGUUGGUUGUAACAUUUGUUGACAUGGCAAGGUUGUAAACUUAUCUGCAAUUUUAUGUCUUUAUUUGUUUGAUGACACGAUUGUAUUUUGGUAUCUGCUUCUUGCUGCCUCCCAGUAUUAACUAUGGUUCUGUAUGUACUCCAGAUCCAUAGUGCCACUUUAAAUAUCAACAAAUUUCUUCAGGCAUUGCAGAUUUUAACGUUAUAAAUAUAUUUAUUCUCAUCCUAAAGGAUUUUUUGUUGUCUUCUCGAUAGAUUAUCUAAUAGGAUACACUUGAAACAAAUCUGCAAGUUAUGGAAGUUCCAACAUUAGAACUGGGAAGAAAGGUCAUGCCAAUAUCUUCACUGCCAAGAAACUUGGCCAUAUUUUUUCAUCUUCAAACAAAUGUGGAUUAUAUGGCUUCGGCCAAAAUGGAGUUCUAGAUGACUAAUGCUUAUUUCAACUCCAUAUACGUGUAAUUAUACUAAGAGCAGUGCUAGGCAUACAAUGAACUCUUGUACGAUGUUGUACGACACUGCUCAGUCACCCUCCGAUCAAAUCUAUGCAUCAACGGCAAUCAUGGGAUCGCUGCGCCGGACGUGAAUCAUAUAUUUAAAGUCGUAUGCAGAGCAAUUUCGUUAUACUAACUCUUUUGUAUGUUAUAUGUUAUUACUUUUUGGUCCCAUGGAAAGAACCUACAUACAUGACAUGAUUUUGGUAAUACGUAUUAAAUCUGUCUUGAAGAAAACCAUCAUAGUUUACAAUGUUUUUUGUUCUCUAGAAUACAAUACAUUCUGCUAAAAAAGGGAGGAUAAAAUAAUUAUUCUAGUAUGAUUGAAGGAAAUGGAUAAUGAAAAUAAAUGGCUCAAAAGCUAUACUCGAACUUGGUUUGUCAUGUGACUGGUCUAUCGAUUUCCAUGACAUUAUUUUCCUAUUUUGUGGUGGCAAAUAUAAUGCACAUAUGAUCCUUUAGUAAUGCGGGGGGUUGGAUGCCAUGAGAAGCCAUAUACGAGGCAUUGUCACCCCCAGAAAAUUAAAUUGUGUGUUUCGAUGGUAGUGGAGGGAGGGAUUGCGAGCCAUAUACACUAUUGACAGAAGUGGGGAGGUUUAAUUGGGAAGACCGAGAAAUGAAUAUGAUGGGUGAAGAAGAAAAAGAGG